GGAAGUGGCUUCGCUAGGGAGCCUCCCGGCGUGGAGAUGGCGGGAGCUGGUCGCGGAGCAGCGGUGUCCAGGGUGCAGGCGGGUCCUGGGAGUCCCCGGCGAGCGCGGGGGCGGCAGCAAGUGCAGCCGCUGGGGAAGCAGCGCCCAGCCCCGUGGCCCGGGCUUCGCAGUCUCAGCCCAGGUGGACCUUAGGAAGGGCUGGAUCCCUGUCCCUGAACACCAAAUACCGAGACAGCUGAUGAGGCUGGCUCAGUGUGUGACGGAGGCCCCCGGGAGUCAGCAGAGCCGAGCGUACAGUGCACAUCAGGCAGAGCAGGCCACGGGCAGGGACGACGCAUCGGGACAGGGCUCUGCAGGGGACCGUGACUACAGGCCAGCUGUGAGUGGUCCCCUACAGAGGCUGCCCACCCAAGGUUUGGUUGGGGUGAAACAUGAUGACAACACAUACACUUAAGAAGGUGGGAACCGGGGGCCGGGCGCGGUGGCUCACACCUGUAAUGCCAGCACUUUGGGCAGCUGAGGCGAGUGGAUCACCUGAGGUCAGGAGUUCGAACCAGCCUGGCCAACAUGGUGAAACUGCAUCUCUACUAAAAAUACACGAAGAAAAAAAAAACAGUGGGAACAGAGUUGUCACCUACCUAACAGGGCUCUGAGAGAGCCGGGAGGCCCAAAGUGGCUGGAAGAAGGUAAAGGAAAAAUCCUGUCUUGGGCUCAAGGUCACAGAGUGGGGCCCAGGGGGAGUUCCUGCUGAGGGCAGGGCCUUGCCAGGCUUCAGUCUCCAGUGCCAAAGGAGGAAAUGCCCAGGCUGUCAGCAUUUCCAGAUGAGAGCAGAAGGGAGAAGCUUAAACCCAAGUCACACAUCCAGCAAUGGAGUCCGACAGCCCAGCACCAUCUGGGAACUGAGAAGCACCUCUGCCCGGCCCCCACACCGUGUGGAAAGUGAGGAGCACCUCUGCCUGGCCGCCACCCCGUCUGGCAAGUGAGGAGCGCCUCUGCCCGGCCGCUGUGCAACCUUCCAAGUGUGAAGUGACAGCCUUGUGUGUGAUGUUUUCUGCCUUCCCCAAGUUUGCACUUUCGACAUUAAAGUUUACUUUUUAGUUAAAAGUUUU
rnacentral:lncRNA from 10 species